GGAGAAGCAGACUCUGCAGAGCAGGGAGCCCGAUGUGGGGAGCCACCCAGGUGCCCCAAGAUCUAUUUGACCAGAUGACAAACCCACGACCUUCCCAGGCAGCCCUCGGAUGGCUGGUGUUGUUGAAGAAGUCCUGUGUUGCAAAGUUCUGUGUAAAGAGAGGGGCGGGAUCGAAGGGCUGCGGGCAGGAAGAGGGUCCAGUGAUACAACACAGGCCCGGAUAGCCAGCGAGCCUUGAGGAAAACAUUAGUUCCAUUCCAAGUCAUGUGGAUACCAGACAGAGGAGGAAGAGGACGCAGAAGAUGAUGCAGGUGACCCCGAUGUGGAUGCCAAUGACGAGGCCUGUGGUGGGCGUCUGGUUGGUGGGCUCCUCCUUCCGGCAGUCACACGGUGGGCUCAGGGCUAGGGGCAGGGGAGGGUUGGGCCCUGUGGCUCUCCCAGCCCGAAGCUUCUCCAGACACCCGACCUCUGGGAGCUCCUCCUUCCUCAGCUGAACCCGCCUCCACGUCUACAUCCCCUUUGCCUUUGGGACCCCAGCCCAACCUUUUCUGGUUCUCUUUACCCGCUACCGAGUACUAACUUUGUGCCCGAUACUGCACAUAACACCUCUACAUGGACCCUUUCAUCCUUACCACGGCUUUAUAAAG